GAAAUGCGAUAAGUAAUGUGAAUUGCAGAAUUCAGUGAAUCAUCGAAUCUUUGAACGCACCUUGCGCUCCUUGGUAUUCCUUGGAGCAUGCCUGUUUGAGUAUCAUGAAAUCUUCAAAGUAAAUCUUUUGUUAACUCUAUUGGUUUCUACUUUGGUAUUGGAGGUCUUUGCAGCUUCACACCUGCUCCUCUUUGUUCAUUAGCUGGAUCUCAGUGUUAUGCUUGGUUCCACUCGGCGUGAUAAGUUAUCUAUCGCUGAGGACACUGUAAAAGGUGGCCAAGGUAAAUGCAGAUGAACCGCUUCUAAUAGUCCAUUGACUUGGACAAUACUUUUAUGAUCUGAUCUCAAAUCAGGUAGGACUACCCGCUGAACGUAAGCA
rnacentral:misc_RNA from 1 species